GGCCGCCUGGCGAAAUGGCAUCGCGUCUGACUACGAUGCCCAAGCUAAAGGACUCUGAAUUGAAUUUGGUAAUCAGGAGAUUGCAGGUUCGACUCCUGCGGUGGUCA